UGAGUAACGCGUGGAUGAUCUACCUAUGAGAUGGGGAUAACUACUAKAAAUAKUAGCUAAUACCGAAUAAGGUCAAUUAAUUUGUUAAUUGAUGAAAGGAAGCCUUUAAAGCUUCSCUUGUAGAUGAGUCUGCGUCUUAUUAGUUAGUUGGUGGGGUAAAUGCCUACCAAGACUAUGAUAAGUAACCGGCCUGAGAGGGUGAACGGUCWCACUGGAACUGAGAUACGGUCCAGACUCCUACGGGAGGCAGCAGCUAAGAA
rnacentral:rRNA from 1 species